rnacentral:rRNA from 1 species
GAUGAACGCUGGCGGCGUGCCUAAUACAUGCAAGUCGAGCGAACAGACGAGGAGCUUGCUCCUCUGACGUUAGCGGCGGACGGGUGAGUAACACGUGGAUAACCUACCUAUAAGACUGGGAUAACUUCGGGAAACCGGAGCUAAUACCGGAUAAUAUAUUGAACCGCAUGGUUCAAUAGUGAAAGACGGUUUUGCUGUCACUUAUAGAUGGAUCCGCGCCGCAUUAGCUAGUUGGUAAGGUAACGGCUUACCAAGGCAACGAUGCGUAGCCGACCUGAGAGGUGAUCCGCCCCCCUGGAACUGAGACACGGUCCAGACUCCCACGGGAGGGAACAGUUGGGAAUUUUUCCCAAAGGGGGGAAACCUUGUAGAGCCAACCCGGGGGGGUGAAUAAGGGUUUUCGGUUCGAAAACCCUUUUUUUUGGGAAAAAAAAAAUUGUAAAAAAACUUUGCCGGUUUUGACGGUCCCUAAUCAAAAACCCCCGGCAACCUACGG